rnacentral:rRNA from 1 species
GGUUAAGUGACUAAGCGUACACGGUGGAUGCCUAGGCAGUCAGAGGCGAUGAAGGACGUACUAACUUGCGAUAAGCGCAGAUAAGGCAGUAAGAGCCGUUUGAGUCUGCGAUUUCCGAAUGGGGAAACCCAACUGCAUAAGCAGUUACUGUUAACUGAAUACAUAGGUUAACAGAGCAAACCGGGGGAACUGAAACAUCUAAGUACCCCGAGGAGAAGAAAUCAACCGAGAUUCCGGUAGUAGCGGCGAGCGAACCUGGAUUAGCCCUUAAGCACUCGGUGAAGUAGGUGAACAAGCUGGAAAGCUUGGCGAUACAGGGUGAUAGCCCCGUAACCGACGCUUCAUCGAGCGUGAAAUCGAGUAGGGCGGGACACGUGAUAUCCUGUCUGAAUAUGGGGGGACCAUCCUCCAAGGCUAAAUACUCCUGACUGACCGAUAGUGAACCAGUACCGUGAGGGAAAGGCGAAAAGAACCCCUGUGAGGGGAGUGAAAUAGAACCUGAAACCGUGUACGUACAAGCAGUAGGAGCACCUUCGUGGUGUGACUGCGUACCUUUUGUAUAAUGGGUCAGCGACUUAUAUUCAGUGGCAAGGUUAACCGUAUAGGGGAGCCGUAGCG